GAGAUUCUGAAAGCCAUAAAAUCAGUUGACCUCACUGACUGUUAGAGCCAGGAGUGCUGAUUGUGAAAACAGUUAUCUCAAUAUUCCACGUGGAAUUGCAUAUGCGAACCACCUAGUCAUGGUGAAACCUAACUUUAUUAAGCUCCUGAUUUUGGAGACCUACAAUAUCCUGCCUUCUGUAUAGAAGAAGUAUAGCCUUUCUACCGCUGCCUCCAUCGUUUGCUUAAACUAAUGUGAGUGAGUCUCCUUUAUAAUAAUCAAAUGGGCCUAACCAGAACCACCAGCAACCUUCAUGCUUUGUUGCUUUGGGCUUCUGAGACUGUCCCUUUUAAGGUAGUCUUCGUGUUUGGUUUAGGCACUCUUUGUAGAGGAUCCUUCAUUCUCCCAAAAAAACUGCUGUUUGAAAACCAACAUGGGCCAGUAUUUCCCAGAUCCCUUUGGUAACCACUGUCAUGAUCGUGCCCAACAAAAUGCUGGCACUUGUGGGUGCUCCAAAUGCUUGCUUGAAUGAAGCAAUGAUUGAAGAGAAGUCUCUAGCCCCUGAAAAUGCUCUCAAAAAGCCAAAGGAAAGCUCCAUGGGGUUAGCAGAAAAAAGAAAGGGAGAGAGAAAGAGAAAUUCUACACAAUCAUGAAUUUCUUUCCCCUUCGUCUUUCUUUCUCUGCUUCCGUGUCAGAGAGAGACUUAGAGGUGUGCUGGAACACAAGUCACAGAAGAAGGAAGUAGAGAAGGAAGGGGAAAGAAGAAAGUUUACAGCCACCUCACCUACUCAAUCUGAACUUCACGGUUUCCCCAUCCCGCCAGAGUGCUCUAGUUGGCUGGAGGCCUGGUCGAGACUGCCCUGUGACACAACUAGCUAGCUGCACAACCAGGGCAAAAUACUGCUGGAUUAACCCAUGCUAAUGGGUUACCUUUAUUUAGUAAUCAUGGGUCCCUCAUAAGCAUGGUCCAGAUCCGAACUGUUUUUGGAAAGAUCUUGGACUUUCUAGAAUUUCACCUACCCUGGAGUAUGAAAACACACUGAAACAGAACUGGAUAAGGAUUUUAAACAGAACUUGCAAGUGAGAUCAUCAUGUCCCCACCACCACUACCCUGCUGCCUCCUGACCCAAGAUGAUGAAGAACUGCAGCAGAUUUUUAAAAAAUGUUCCACAUUCCCUUUGCUUCUCAUCUCUAGAAAACUCUCCAGAUCAAGAACUUUGGCCUUGGAGUAUGGAGUUGGAGGUCAUGCAGACCUGAUUUCAAACGCAAGCUGUCACAUGGUUGCGUUACAGUGGGGAGGGGACUUACCAUCUUGAAGACAAUUUAGAUAGUAAUAGCAACAUGGAAAGACUGUGAAGACACUUAUGAUUUUGUGGGACCACAGUGCCUGGGAAACAUCACGUGAUUCAUACAUGUUGAUUACAUGUGUUGCUUG
rnacentral:lncRNA from 1 species